rnacentral:rRNA from 1 species
CAACCUGCCCACCACUUGGGGAUAACCUUGCGAAAGUAAGACUAAUACCCAAUGACGUCUCUANAANACAUCUGAAAGAGAUUAAAGAUUUAUCGGUGAUGGAUGGGGAUGCGUCUGAUUAGCUUGUUGGCGGGGUAACGGCCCACCAAGGCUACGAUCAGUAGGGGUUCUGAGAGGAAGGUCCCCCACAUUGGAACUGAGACACGGUCCAAACUCCUACGGGAGGCAGCAGUGAGGAAUAUUGGUCAAUGGACGAGAGUCUGAACCAGCCAAGUAGCGUGCAGGAUGACGGCCCUAUGGGUUGUAAACUGCUUUUAUAAGGGAAUAAAGUGAGUCUCGUGAGACUUUUUGCAUGUACCUUAUGAAUAAGGACCGGCUAAUUCCGUGCCAGCAGCCGCGGUAAUACGGAAGGUCCGGGCGUUAUCCGGAUUUAUUGGGUUUAAAGGGAGCGUAGGCCGGAGAUUAAGCGUGUUGUGAAAUGUAGAUGCUCAACAUCUGCACUGCAGCGCGAACUGGUUUCCUUGAGUACGCACAAAGUGGGCGGAAUUCGUGGUGUAGCGGUGAAAUGCUUAGAUAUCACGAAGAACUCCGAUUG